rnacentral:lncRNA from 1 species
AGCUAUAUCUUAAAUACUGUGAUUUGACUUUUUGAAAAAUAUCCUAAUACAAAUAUUUUACUAACUUACAAUCACUCAUUUAAUAAGAAACAUUUGGAUUCUUUUGAAAUCAGUGUUAAUUGACUCAUAUUCUUAAAAGCCUGGCUCUUGACCCUAUUGGAAACACAAAGGAAGCUGAAAUCAAACAUCUAAAAUACACUGCGUACACGUGUGCGUGCACACACACACACACACACACACACACACAGCUCUUCAUUUCUCCUGAGCCAUGCAGAAUUUACUUUCAAUGUGGAAAUCUGUUCCCUUUACCACACUGUAUAUGCACAGAGCACAAGAGAGGCUAUCUCUAGUCACUUCCACCAGCGAGGCCUUAGACUCCGUAUUAGAGGCCACCGAUUUCAUACAACAGUGUUUCGCUAAAGACCCUUCACUAUUCUUGUUUAGUAAAUAGCUGUCUGCUCUUCAGGGAACUGUUACCUAUGGGUUAUUACCAAAGAACGCUGGCAAUUGGAAAUGUCCUGAUGGAAAUUCUUUGCACGUGCCGGUUCUCUGGCAUCCUCCAGGUGGCCCAACCCAAAGCAGAAAGCAGAAACCACAGACCCCGUGAGUCUCCCCAUACCUUGUUUCCAAUAACUUGGCAAAACUUCUUGGUGCAUAUUGGUUACACCCUCUGGGAUUCAUAAUGCCAUUAGGCUAAAACCCUAAGAGAGAGGGUUGACAGAAACACACGCGAGAAUGAGGCAGAUCCCAGAGCAAGGACUGGGCCCAGACUCUCCACAUGUGCUCUACUAGUGAGUGCCUUAUACUCUCAGUAUUUUGGGGCUUACAGCUUCUUAUUUGUGCUAAAAAGGUGCAGUUCCAAAGUAGGAACUGCCACACAGGCCCCAGCAUCCUCUCUCCAACUUCAUACCUCUCUCCUGGUGGGGGGAGCGGGCAUCCAGGACCUCCGGAAUCAAGGAUGUGCAGAGAAGAGCGAAAGUAAUUUUUCUAGUCACAUGAACUGAUUGGUUCCAGGCAAUUAGAAAAUGGCUAUAAAAUAACCUUAAUUUUAAAAAAAAAUCUUGGGUCUUCGUUUUCCUAUUAGGAGACUGAACUGACCACAUGUAUUGAUUUAUAUCCUGAAUAUAUGGGAACUUCUGUGUUUGGGAUGUCCUACUGUAAGACUGAUGAAUGUACAGAGUUAAUUUCAGGGUACAGUUUUGCCUUAAUGGUUUUAAAAAAUAAACUAUUUUUUAAAAUUUU